GACGAACGCUGGCGGCGUGCUUAACACAUGCAAGUCGAACGGAAAGGCCCUGCUUUUGUGGUGUGCUCGAGUGGCGAACGGGUGAGUAACACGUGAGUAACCUGCCCUUGACUUUGGGAUAACUUCAGGAAACUGGGGCUAAUACCGGAUAGGAGCUCCUGCUGCAUGGUGGGGGGUGGAAAGUUUCGGCGGUUGGGGAUGGACUCGCGGCUUAUCAGCUUGUUGGUGGGGUAGUGGUUUACCAAGGGUUUGACGGGUAGCCGGCCUGGGAGGGUGAACGGCCACAUUGGGACUGAGAUACGGCCCAGAGUCCUACGGGAGGCAGCAGUGGCGAAUAUUGCACAAUGGGCGGACGCGUGAUGCAGAAACGUCGCGUGCGGGAUGACGGCCUUCGGGUUGUAAACCGCUUUCGCCUGUGACGAAGCGUGAGUGACGGUAAUGGGUAAAGAAGCACCGGCUAACUACGUG
rnacentral:rRNA from 1 species